rnacentral:rRNA from 1 species
AGUGAACGCUGGCGGUGGGCCUAACACAUGCAAGUCGAACGGCAGCACAGUAAGAGCUUGCUCUUACGGGUGGCGAGUGGCGGACGGGUGAGGAAUACAUCGGAAUCUACUUUUUCGUGGGGGAUAACGUAGGGAAACUUACGCUAAUACCGCAUACGACCUACGGGUGAAAGCAGGGGAUCUUCGGACCUUGCGCGAUUGAAUGAGCCGAUGUCGGAUUAGCUAGUUGGCGGGGUAAAGGCCCACCAAGGCGACGAUCCGUAGCUGGUCUGAGAGAAUGAUCAGCCACACUGGAACUGAGACACGGUCCAGACUCCUACGGGAGGCAGCAGUGGGGAAUAUUGGACAAUGGGCGCAAGCCUGAUCCAGCCAUACCGCGUGGGUGAAGAAGGCCUUCGGGUUGUAAAGCCCUUUUGUUGGGAAAGAAAAGCAGCAGGUUAAUACCCCGCUGUUCUGACGGUACCCAAAGAAUAAGCACCGGCUAACUUCGUG